AGGCUCUGCUGCCUUUGCUUUCACUACCGGCUUUGCAUGCGAGAUCUUCUCUCACUGUCAGUCCACAGUACUCAGCACUGGACACACUACUGAAUGAUCUACUCAGCCUCUCUUAGUUUCUUAGCUCAAAGAAGGAAAGGAGAAAAAAAAUGUCUUUUUGAUCUACUUGCUUCCAUGAGAAAUCACAGUGAGUGUAUCCUUUUACCUACAGCAGGAACCCACAGGACUGUCUUUCCCAUAACCAGAAGAAGGUCCCAUCAACUAUUUCUCGGCUGAAAGCACCUCCAGGCCUCUCCAAAGCUACCAGGGCAUUCCUCGCAAAAGACUUUAAUGGGACAGACCUGUGGGACAUCAGUCUUGGAGAUUCAGCGGAGAGGUGACAGUCACUAUGGGAGAGUAGUCCCCUGAGGGUAGUGUAUGUUCAGAGAACUCUGUAUGAGGUGAGGAUGGAGGCCUGCUUGGACAAAUCAGGCUGGGUUUCAGAGAUGUUGUGGACAUUCCUUACACCUUUUGGCAGGACAGGGCCAUUUCAUUCUUCAUUCACCCACUUCGGGGAGGAAAGGCUUUGAAAGGGGAAAGAGACUGCAGGAUCCGACAACUGCAGGCGCUGUGCCCCUGUGUGGUUUCGUUUGGGAGCAGAGCGGACCAAUCUAUUUUCUCCAAAUCACAAGCUUGGUUGCCAGCAGGAGAAAAAACAAGCUAAUUACUUAAACAAACCAUCCUUUGUAACAAAGAAUUUUAAAAGGAGGAAAAAGCAAAACCAACCAGCAUAUAAAUCUGGUCUGACAGUAUUUGCAAUGUUCCCCGCAUGUUCCCUGCUUGUAGUGGCCCACCUCUGAAAUAAAGGAAGAGAAGAAGUAUGGAGGGGCCUAAGGAGAUGAAGAGGUGAAUUUGGUGUUUCCCAAACUGAGUAACAUACUCAAGGACAAUGCCCCCCCCCGGGGCAAAACUUAAAGAGGUUGGCCUCCAGAACAGCAGUAGGCAGACUAUAUUAUGGACAGAUCCUCCACGGUUGGAUUCUCUGCUCUGGAAGUCCAUCAUGAGUAGUCAGUCCCUUGACAGAGUUUACUCCUCUCCAAACAGGGAAGAAGUAUCCACUCCUGGCUCUGUGUCAGCAUUCUCCUCUCUUUGUGCCUCCAGUUUCCCUAUAUUUGGAGUAAAGAAUCAACCUUUAA